UGAAACCGUGUACGUACAAGCAGUGGGAGCCUCUUAAUGGGGUGACUGCGUACCUUUUGUAUAAUGGGUCAGCGACUUAUAUUCUGUAGCAAGGUUAACCGAAUAGGGGAGCCGAAGGGAAACCGAGUCUUAACUGGGCGUUAAGUUGCAGGGUAUAGACCCGAAACCCGGUGAUCUAGCCAUGGGCAGGUUGAAGGUUGGGUAACACUAACUGGAGGACCGAACCGACUAAUGUUGAAAAAUUAGCGGAUGACUUGUGGCUGGGGGUGAAAGGCCAAUCAAACCGGGAGAUAGCUGGUUCUCCCCGAAAGCUAUUUAGGUAGCGCCUCGUGAAUUCAUCUCCGGGGGUAGAGCACUGUUUCGGCAAGGGGGUCAUCCCGACUUACCAACCCGAUGCAAACUGCGAAUACCGGAGAAUGUUAUCACGGGAGACACACGGCGGGUGCUAACGUCCGUCGUGAAGAGGGAAACAACCCAGACCGCCAGCUAAGGUCCCAAAGUCAUGGUUAAGUGGGAAACGAUGUGGGAAGGCCCAGACAGCCAGGAUGUUGGCUUAGAAGCAGCCAUCAUUUAAAGAAAGCGUAAUAGCUCACUGGUCGAGUCGGCCUGCGCGGAAGAUGUAACGGGGCUAAACCAUGCACCGAAGCUGCGGCAGCGACGCUUAUGCGUUGUUGGGUAGGGGAGCGUUCUGUAAGCCUGUGAAGGUGUGCUGUGAGGCAUGCUGGAGGUAUCAGAAGUGCGAAUGCUGACAUAAGUAACGAUAAAGCGGGUGAAAAGCCCGCUCGCCGGAAGACCAAGGGUUCCUG
rnacentral:rRNA from 1 species